AUUGAACGCUGGCGGAAUGCUUUACACAUGCAAGUCGAGCGGCAGCGCGGGGCAACCUGGCGGCGAGCGGCGAACGGGUGAGUAAUGUAUCGGAACGUGUCCUGUCGUGGGGGAUAGCCCGGUGAAAACCGGAUUAAUACCGCCUACGAUCGAGAGAUGAAAGUGGGGGACCGCAAGGCCUCACGCGAUAGGAGCGGCCGUUAUCUGGUUAGCUAGUUGGUGGGGGAAAGGCCCACCAAGGUUUCGAUAAGUAGCUGGUGUGAGAGGAUGCACGGCCACGCUGGGACUGAGAAACGGCCCAGACUCCUACGGGAGGAAGCAGUGGGGAAUUUUGGACAAUGGGGGCAACCCUGAUCCAGCCAUUCCGCGUGAGUGAAGAAGGCCUUCGGGUUGUAAAGCUCUUUUGUCCGGGAAGAAACGGUUUUGGCUAAUAACCAAGACUACUGACGGUACCGGAAGAAUAAGGACCGGCUAACUACGUGCCAGCAGCCGCCGUAA
rnacentral:rRNA from 1 species